ACGAACGCUGGCGGCGUGCUUAACACAUGCAAGUCGAACGGUGAAGCGCCUUCCUUUUUGGUGGGUGUGGAUGAGUGGCGAACGGGUGAGUAACACGUGAGUAACCUGCCCCCUUCUUCUGGAUAACCGCAUGAAAGUGUGGCUAAUACGGGAUAUUCUGGGUCUGUCGCAUGAUGGGUCUGGGAAAGAUAUUGUUUCGGUGGGGGAUGGGCUCGCGGCCUAUCAGCUUGUUGGUGGGGUGAUGGCCUACCAAGGCGGUGACGGGUAGCCGGCCUGAGAGGGUGGACGGUCACACUGGGACUGAGACACGGCCCAGACUCCUACGGGAGGCAGCAGUGGGGAAUAUUGCACAAUGGGCGCAAGCCUGAUGCAGCGACGCCGCGUGAGGGAUGGAGGCCUUCGGGUUGUGAACCUCUUUCGCCAGUGAAGCAGGCCUGCCUCGUUUGUGGGUGGGUUGACGGUAGCUGGAUAAGAAGCGCCGGCUAACUACAUG
rnacentral:rRNA from 1 species